rnacentral:lncRNA from 1 species
UUUUCAUGUAAAAUUUUAAGAUUAUUUGAGUUUACAGUACUUGUUAUUUGACAUUAAAAGGUUUAAAAAAUUUAUCAAUUACUUGCUAUUGAUAUUUUCUAUCCCAUCUUCACUCUAUCUAAAACCAAGCCUUCUUUGAUAUAUAUAUUUAAAACAACUUUUAAAUAGAUUUGCUACCUAAAACAUUUUCAAAUGUCUUAUUGAAAUCUAAAAAUGAAAAACAUGCUAAGGAUACGUAUGCUCACUAAUUAGCAAUUUUUAUAUAAAUCCGUUGGUUUUCCUUUGGUCAAAGAAAAAGCAUUUAUAACAUGUUUGCUUACAAUUUUAAAAUUGAUGAUAGGACUAACACUUGAUUCUUUACACUAAUUAGGAAUUUUUUAAGAAGGAGCAAAAUUUCUUGAAACCAUUGAACUUUCAGUGAGUUUUAAACAUACGUGAUCUAAUUUGCAUACAGAGAGGAAGCUAUUUUUUUGAUUAUGGUUUACCUGUAUCCAGAAUCCCAUCGAUCGUGUAUAUGAAUUUGAAUAGUAUAGUGGUUUUAAAAAAGGACGGAGGAAACACAAAUUAUUUUAGAAUGACUGUAAAAAUGAGAUAGCCUUUCAACAGUACGUGUUGUCAGCAAUACAUUAAAUGAAAAUAACUGCUUCUUAAAAGUCAAAAGCCGCCUUAUUUUUUACUUGAUCACGACAUGAAAAUUGCUUUCAUCUGUUUAAUAUAAAUCAGCAUUACGUUGUUGGUCAUGAUACGUUUGCAUUUCUUGAAACGCAUCCCACCAUAGCUUGGAUGUGUCUUCAUCAUAACCUAGACUUCCUUCUGGUUGCCAAUGUUUUCCAUGAACUGCUUUUAGAUAUGGUAAGUCAUUUUUUCUAGCCCAAAGUCCGUUAAAAGUCCAAUCAAGUGACUCCCAUGGAAAAGCACCUGCUGAAUUGUAUGCAAAAUUUAGCAAACUUUGCUCCAUCAUGUUUGCAUUAUCAUACAAUUUUGGAAACCUUGCUAAUGCCAUUAACCUUUUAUAAUGUGCCUUCAAUGGCUUAAAGACGAAUAGACCAGCAUUAAAAUAAUCUUUAAAAGGAGGAGGAGUUUCAUGCCACAUACCUGGAUCGGACACAGCAGCGAAAACGUAGGGAUAAAGAUCGUCUCUUGUCAGCCCGUAAGCUGCAAACUCUUCUGUAAAGCGUCUCCAAAAAAUGCUGCGCCUAGGCUUGUAGAAUAGGGUGGGAGGAAACAGAACAGAAUCCUUACUAUAGGAGAGUUGGUGAACAUCAAAAACUUUGUCCAUUUUUUUAAUAGGCAAAAUAUCACUAUCAAGAAAACAUAUUCUAUCAUAUUCGUACAUUUCGAAAACUCUCAACUUGGUAAACAUCAUACUCCAUCGGGAAUCCAGUAGGGCAAUGUCAUUGACAUCGUCAACCACUUCAUGAGCAUAUAGUGGAUCGACUACUUUAACAAUAGCUCCGUCUUCCUGCAAUUGAUCAAGCUUCCACUGAUCAAUUCCCUUCAUGGCUAGCACUACAACGGGAUACUUGCUUUUCGUAGGUUUAAAUUUGACAAGUCGGUGAACGAGAAGCCUAGUUGAAUUAUAAUACCAAUCCUGUUGCGUAUUUUCUACUUCGUUUUCCCCAUUAGCGGCGCGUACAGUAAGCAUAGUUACAAAUGCCAUCUUAGAAGAG